GUUGCUGGUGUGUCCUUGUGGUUUUUGUGAACUGUUGGUUUUAUGGAUGUUGUUGGCAUACACCUUGUUUGUAUUCUACAUAGAACUGUCUUCGGAACAACGGGGACGGCUUAUUGGCAGGACAGUGGAUUUUUAUUAUUACGUUUAUUGUAAGUUAUUAUCAUUAUUUUUGGUUACUAAUAAAGUAUUUAAUCAUGGAAAAUUGCUUUUGUGGUGUGGAAUAUCUGAUAAACUGGCUGAGGGAGACUGAACUGAAGGUGGUGAUAAAAAUUCGUACCAAGUGACGAGACGAGGCGGUGGGGGAGUGGGGACCAACCCGUAGUGGAGGCAUGGGUUUUGGCCCAUUCUUCCCAUGUCAAAACCAAUACAUGUUCUGAAUGUUUUGAAACGACCACAGACCAUUCUGAAACAGAUCAGGG
rnacentral:lncRNA from 1 species